rnacentral:rRNA from 1 species
ACUCCUACGGGAGGCAGCAGUGGGGAAUAUUGCACAAUGGGCGGAAGCCUGAUGCAGCAACGCCGCGUGCGGGAUGACGGCCUUCGGGUUGUAAACCGCUUUCGCCUGUGACGAAGCGUGAGUGACGGUAAUGGGUAAAGAAGCACCGGCUAACUACGUGCCAGCAGCCGCGGUGAUACGUAGGGUGCGAGCGUUGUCCGGAUUUAUUGGGCGUAAAGGGCUCGUAGGUGGUUGAUCGCGUCGGAAGUGUAAUCUUGGGGCUUAACCCUGAGCGUGCUUUCGAUACGGGUUGACUUGAGGAAGGUAGGGGAGAAUGGAAUUCCUGGUGGAGCGGUGGAAUGCGCAGAUAUCAGGAGGAACACCAGUGGCGAAGGCGGUUCUCUGGGCCUUUCCUGACGCUGAGGAGCGAAAGCGUGGGGAGCGAACAGGCUUAGAUACCCUGGUAGUCCACGCUGUAAACGGUGGGUACUAGGUGUGGGGUCCAUUCCACGGGUUCCGUGCCGUAGCUAACGCUUUAAGUACCCCGCCUGGGGAGUACGGCCGCAAGGCUAAAACUCAAAGGAAUUGACGGGGGCCCGCACAAG